rnacentral:rRNA from 1 species
GAUGAACGCUGGCGGCGUGCCUAAUACAUGCAAGUCGAGCGAACGGACGAGAAGCUUGCUUCUCUGAUGUUAGCGGCGGACGGGUGAGUAACACGUGGAUAACCUACCUAUAAGACUGGGAUAACUUCGGGAAACCGGAGCUAAUACCGGAUAAUAUUUUGAACCGCAUGGUUCAAAAGUGAAAGACGGUCUUGCUGUCACUUAUAGAUGGAUCCGCGCUGCAUUAGCUAGUUGGUAAGGUAACGGCUUACCAAGGCAACGAUGCAUAGCCGACCUGAGAGGGUGAUCGGCCACACUGGAACUGAGACACGGUCCAGACUCCUACGGGAGGCAGCAGUAGGGAAUCUUCCGCAAUGGGCGAAAGCCUGACGGAGCAACGCCGCGUGAGUGGUGAAGGUCUUCGGAUCGUAAAACUCUGUUACUAGGGAAGAACAUAUGUGUAAGUAACUGUGCACAUCUUGACGGUACCUAAUCAGAAAGCCACGGCUAACUACGUG